ensembl:lncRNA
CUUUCGGCGGAGACGAAGUCAUAGCACGUAACAGUGCGAAAUAAAAGACCCGCCGAAUUGUCUGGACUCCGCCCUUCAGUGACUGCUGCCUCGCGAAGCGACAACGCCAUCUUUUCUUCGAGCGACCGAGACGUUGGUCGUCCUCUCGCCUCUGUUCCCUCCUCGGCCUGGGGUUACUGCGAAUCUGGCGCUGAAGACUGAAGCUGCUAACGUUAUAUUCGAAGCCUCAGAAGACCUUCAAGGAUCCAGUUGACCUCUGAAUCAGCUGUUAAGAAAAUGGGACAGUUAUAUUGCUUCAAUUGGUCUCCUACUUCAUUUGAUUCCACCUUCAUUACAAGGCUGCAAGGGAUCUGGAAAAAUGUCAUCCUGUCAAGCUGAAAAACAUCUUCAAAAAGGCACUAACAAGAACAGCUUGAUUGCAGAGAAGAGACCACACAGCCAUACACGCUCACUGAUGGGACGAUGAGGAACAUCAUUCAUGGAUGCUACACAACUCAAAUCUACACGUCAUAUUUGUUCAUGUCUAGGUAAAUUUGAUGAUUUUGUGUUUUAUUAAUUACUUUGUUUCUGUGCAACACUUAAUGAAUGUGACUGACUAAUUAACCUCUACACAUCUGGUAUAUGCUUUAAAGUUGCCACUUUGCCCAUUUGUUCAAUAAAUGUUGAAAUGUAUACAUCUGUCUGAAGACUUUCCUGAUUUUAUGUCUAUCCUUUUACAUUAACUUUAUUUUUAUCAUAAUUAACAUUAUUUUUUUUGUUUGCACUGAAAAGAGGACAUUAUUAAUUAUGCUUAAAACAACAGCAGAGGUGUUAAAUACCCCAUAGUGUAAAAUUUGAACAGCAAUAGCAUGUGUAACACUUUACACUUGGAGUGUAAUUUUUCUAGACAUUGUUUAAAAUGAAAUGUAAAAUGUGAAAAUGAAAAGGAUUUAAUUAAAUUCUGAUUUUAAUUCAGUGUGUGUUAUAUAUAUAUAUAUAUAUAUAUAUAUAUACCUUUAGAAAUAACUGCAAAUUACAAGCUAAAUACAAAACUUAGUUCUAGAAUUUGCAUUCAGAGAUAGUUUGAC